rnacentral:rRNA from 1 species
UACGUAGGGGGCUAGCGUUGUCCGGAAUCAUUGGGCGUAAAGCGCGUGUAGGCGGCUUUCUAAGUCAGGGGUGAAAUCCUGGAGCUCAACUCCAGAACUGCCUUUGAUACUGGGGAGCUCGAGUCCGGAAGAGGUGAGUGGAACUCCGAGUGUAGAGGUGAAAUUCGUAGAUAUUCGGAAGAACACCAGUGGCGAAGGCGGCUCACUGGUCCGGUACUGACGCUGAGGUGCGAAAGCGUGGGGAGCAAACAGG